rnacentral:rRNA from 1 species
UGGGGAAUAUUGGACAAUGGGCGAAAGCCUGAUCCAGCCAUGCCGCGUGUGUGAAGAAGGCCUUUUGGUUGUAAAGCACUUUAAGCGAGGAGGAGGCUACUUAGAUUAAUACUCUAGGAUAGUGGACGUUACUCGCAGAAUAAGCACCGGCUAACUCUGUGCCAGCAGCCGCGGUAAUACAGAGGGUGCGAGCGUUAAUCGGAUUUACUGGGCGUAAAGCGUGCGUAGGCGGCUUUUUAAGUCGGAUGUGAAAUCCCUGAGCUUAACUUAGGAAUUGCAUUCGAUACUGGGAAGCUAGAGUAUGGGAGAGGAUGGGAGAAUUCCAGGUGUAGCGGUGAAAUGCGUAGAGAUCUGGAGGAAUACCGAUGGCGAAGGCAGCCAUCUGGCCUAAUACUGACGCUGAGGUACGAAAGCAUGGGGAGCAAACAGG